rnacentral:rRNA from 1 species
AAAUUGAAGAGUUUGAUCAUGGCUCAGAUUGAACGCUGGCGGCAGGCCUAACACAUGCAAGUCGAACGGUAACAGGAAACAGCUUGCUGUUUCGCUGACGAGUGGCGGACGGGUGAGUAAUGUCUGGGAAACUGCCUGAUGGAGGGGGAUAACUACUGGAAACGGUAGCUAAUACCGCAUAAUGUCGCAAGACUAAAGAGGGGGACCUU